CCACCCUUUAUAUAGAUGUGAAAAGACAACAUUAGCUCUCAAACAGUUGAGACGGUUGGAUUCGCUUCUUUCAAAGUGGGGAUUAUGUUCUUCUAGCGAACAUGUUUGCAAGUGCUAGCCAAUGGAACAAAGUGACAAGAGUGAGAGAGGCAAUGAGAAACAGAGGAGUUCAGAAACCAGAGCCAGGUAAGAAGUUCUGGAAUGUGUUUCAUCUGCAGCCUAUGCAUGAUCAGAAGGUACAAUUCCAAAAAAAAAUAUCAUCUAAUUUCACAUUAUUUCCAUUGCUUUAUGAUUAUACAAUUCUAAAAAAAUGAGAACCAGAGGUUAACAGUACACAGACUGCUGAAAUUGAUGUUUUACCAAUAGAUCACUACUAUGAUGCCUUAGGAGGGCCUGAAUUGGAUACUCUCAGGGUACAUGGACUUUUGUUUUUUUUUUUUGCUGCUACUGUUGUUGUGCUCCAUUUGCUUCGUUCAGCUGACAGGAUAUUAUCUCUAUAAUUAUAAAUGUUGUUUCAAAGCAAGUGUGGAGUGCUACUAAUUUGGAGAGAUCUGACAUAAAUAAAGUCUUCUAUCGGUAUGAGAGCAUAAUCAAGUUCUCAAAUCUGCACUUGAUUGAGAAAGAUCUUAAUGGCAUUAGUGCUAACAUGGAAUGCAUAUGCAAAGUUAGUUAUUUAUGUGCAAAAAAAAAAAAAGAAAAAAAAAGGAGAAUGUGGUCCCAACCCAAUUGAGGAAGUUAUGCCCAAAGUGUAGUUAGCAUAGUGUCCCAGUGGGAAUCAGAAGUUUAACUGGUAAUGGUAUCAUCUCUCCUUAAUAGGGGCAAUAGUAAUGGACUGAAGACAACUGAAUCUGCUAAGGCAUCUA